rnacentral:rRNA from 1 species
UUGGAGGGCAAGUCUGGUGCCAGCAGCCGCGGUAAUUCCAGCUCCAAUAGCGUAUAUUAAAGUUGUUGCAGUUAAAAAGCUCGUAGUUGAAUUUCGGGGUUAGUAGGUUGGUCAUGCCUCCGGUAUGUACUGAUCUCACUGAUUCCUCCCUCCUUAUGAACCGUAAUGCCAUUAAUUUGGUGUUGCGGGGAAUUUGGACUGUUACUUUGAAAAAAUUAGAGUGUUUAAAGCAGGCUAACGCUUGAAUACAUUAGCAUGGAAUAAUGAAAUAGGACGUUCGAUCUUAUUUUGUUGGUUUCUAGGAUUGACGUAAUGAUUAAUAGGGAUAGUUGGGGGCAUUAGUAUUCAAUUGUCAGAGGUGAAAUUCUUGGAUUUAUUGAAGACUAACUACUGCGAAAGCAUUUGCCAAGGAUGUUUUCAUUAAUCAAGAACGAAAGUUAGGGGAUCGAAGACGAUCAGAUACCGUCGUAGUCUUAACCAUAAACUAUGCCGACUAGGGAUCGGAUGAUGUUAAUUUUUUAAUGACUCAUUCGGCGCCUUACGGGAAAC